rnacentral:rRNA from 1 species
GACGAACGCUGGCGGCGUGCUUAACACAUGCAAGUCGAGCGGUAAGGCCCUUUCGGGGGUACACGAGCGGCGAACGGGUGAGUAACACGUGGGUGACCUGCCCUCAGCUCUGGGAUAAGCCCGGGAAACUGGGUCUAAUACUGGAUAUGACUCCACGGUGCAUGGUCGUGGGGUGGAAAGCCUUGUGCGGCUGAGGAUGGGCCCGCGGCCUAUCAGCUUGUUGGUGGGGUGAUGGCCUACCAAGGCGACGACGGGUAGCCGGCCUGAGAGGGCGACCGGCCACACUGGGACUGAGACACGGCCCAGACUCCUACGGGAGGCAGCAGGUGGGGAAUCUUGCGCAAUGGGCAAAGCCUGACGCAGCGACGCCGCGUGAGGGAUGACGCCU